rnacentral:rRNA from 1 species
UACAGAGGUCCCAAGCGUUGUUCGGAUUCACUGGGCGUAAAGGGUGCGUAGGUGGCGAGGUAAGUCGGAUGUGAAAGCUCGGAGCUCAACUCCGAAAUGGCAUUGGAAACUACCUUGCUCGAGGGUUGGAGGGGGGACUGGAAUGCUUGGUGUAGCAGUGAAAUGCGUAGAUAUCAAGCGGAACACCAGUGGCGAAGGCGAGUCCCUGGACAACUCCUGAUACUGAGGCACGAAAGCUAGGGGAGCAAACAGG